AUCUCCACCAAUCAGGUGCACGUCUCUGGGUCCUGGGCUGAGAUGCUGCCAUUUAUCCUGAUUAUCAGGGCUGAGGUGCAGGGAAGCAGCUUGGCACUACCAGGAUGCUGAGGGCAGCAGGUAGAGCCACUCCAACAUCCACUCCCCCAUCAUAGGAGCAUAGCACCAGCUUCUGGAACCUUCUUUGGAUAUGCAGGUGUGAACCAGCCACUGAUCCAGGACUAGUUGUGAGAUUCCAAGAGGAACUCUUCCAAGGAAUGCUUCCACAGACACGGCUCAGCACACGGAGCUAAGUCCUCACAUCAGUCCUGCAGAAGAUUGCUUUUAUUUAUUUGCUUAUUUCUGCUUCUGAGGAUUUCAGCUCUUCUCCACAUGCUUGUAUCCACCCAGUUCUCUACAAGACCCACCCACACUUCUGGUUGUUUUUUCUGGGCUCCCAGCACCAUCCAGGUGAAGAAACAAAAGCUCUUGGCAGAGCUCUGAGAAGGCUCUCACCAGCUUCGUGAGGCCUGGUGCCACACACCCCACUGCUACCCUGGAGACCAAAGUCCCCGCCUCCCUCAUCCCUCACUUCCUCCUGGCAAAGAGACAGCACAAGAAAGUCUCUCUCUGCUCAGAGAGCCUGUUUCUCUCCCUUUGCCUCCAUUCUUCAUAACCAGUGUGGACUGAAAUAUUCAGUGCUGUCAGGGGAGUGAGUGGUGGUAUAGCUGGUAGAGCUCUCAUGAUGUCCUGCUCAGAGAACUGGGUUCAAGCCCCGUGUCCCCACUACAGAGGAGAAGCUUCAUGAAUGGUGAAGCAGUGCUGCAGGUGUCUCUUUAUCUCGAUCUCCCCUCCCCUCUCAAGUUCUCUCUGUCCUAUUUUUUAAAGGGGAGGACACUGGAAAUGGUGGAGUUGUAUGAGCAUUGAACCCUAGUGAUAACACAAAAUAAAAAGAAACCACUAUCCAGAAUUGUCGGGAAAUUGUGAGGAUGUGGUGGAGCCUGGCAGGGCUUGACCUGAGGAGUGAGUCUAUUCUGUCAGUCUGUCUCUCUACUGAGAGGUUGAGCAAGAAGGGACAGGAGUAACCCCAAAUGUUUUCCCGUCUUAUCAGACUCCCUGUCUCACAAAGAACCCCACAUUCCUGAUACUAUGGCCUAUCUACAUAAUCAUUGUUUUGCCUGAAAGAUCCCCACCCAUUCCAUUCCUUUGAUCUAUCUUCUUUCUACCCUCAAGAUCCUUCCUGCCUGCAGGGUAUUAUUAAUCCUACCAGUUAAAACCCUCACAACAGUUGCUAAGAAAGUUCCUACCUUCCCAGCCCCUUUUGCCUUUCUCCGCCCCUUUCCUAGCCAUUUCCGUUUCUGACUUGCCACAUCCGGGUCUGCUCUUUAAAAGCCUUGGCUCUCUGAUCAAUAAAGAAUUGCAUUGCCUCAC